AGAUCUUUGCCUACAGGGGAUCUUCUCAAGCACUGAUAUCCAAAGAGGAAUAGACUUUCUUUUAAUUCAGUGUUCUUCAUCUGGGUUUUGGCACACAGCACUGGUUUUGUAUAGUUAUUGUUACCUCUGGAAGAAGAAUUGAACAUGAGAUUAAUGAGACUUCAGAUAACCAGAAAAAAACAAAUAUUUUUACUGUCUGACUUGCAUGUGUCUAUCUUCCAUCUUUGGUAAAGCUGUUCUUCAGGCUCUAUGAAGUCAGUUACGCAAUAGCUGAAGCAGAAAAAACUGAACUUUUCACCUGUUGUUAGCAUACAAAAGUUAAUUUAAAAGCUUAAAUUGUAUGGCUUAAGGAAUGGACAUCUUAACAAACCAGUAUGUGCAUAGGUGCAUUUGGAUUAUAUGUAGUUUCAUUUUUUCUGUUUCACUGACAAUUUAAUGAACUUCUUGAACAGAAGAGUAGAAAAGUCAAUCAUCCUGUUUUGAAAAGAAGAUGACUUGAAAACAAUACAUUUUCAUUGUAAUACGUGAUAACUGUUAACUUGGAUUUUCCAAUAUGCAGCCUUAAAUGUUACCUAACAGUUUAGAAGCAAUUAGAUUUUGGUUUAUCAUGUCUGGAACUGAGGAAUAUUUUUGCAGGGUGCCUGGUGAUCUUGCUAUCUUGAAAAUGAGGCCCAAACCGCUUAUCAGAAGUGUCAUCUCUACACUUUUAUUCCAGGAAUGAUCAGCUAUUAAGAGUGCUAGUUGAGAGUAAGGAAUGCCCUUGUUACAUACAUAGGGCUUAGGCUAUUCAAGUCAAUGAAAAGGCAUUUAUUAUCCUUAGAAGCCUUCCCGAAGUUGCGUUAUGAUGCUCUUUCAACCUUAGUAUAGCUUGAUGAGUAAAGCUGCUCAGGCAAAGGCAGUGAAGAAGGGUGUUAAAACUUGCCUUGUGGCAACACUGAAAGAAUAAACAAAGUCGAUGAGGUGAGAAGUAAAUAUUUAUAGAUUUGAACUAUUGGCUUGUCUUGGUAGAAUUAAUUAACCAAAUGUUGGUAUGUAAUGAUUCACAUAAAGCAUUAAGAUCUCUAUUUUUUUAUUAGGAUCAAGUAAGGCAGAAAUGAGAUCUGACACAACAGAAGUUUGAAUGUGUAAUCAUGAAUGCUGUUCGUGUGUGUUCAUUUUAUCUUGGCCUUAGCGACAACAGUCUCUACAAUUUAAACCAAGGGUAUAGGUGAACUAUUGAUGUGCCUGAUAGCUUAUAUUCUAAGAAUAAAUUGGGCUUACAAUCACAAUGUUAAGAAAACAAAGAUAGCAUAGCAGUGUCAGUUGGAAAUACUCUGAAGACUGACCCAGUGCUCUUAAAGCAGCACAUACAGAUUGGUCUGUAGGGGCUGGUGAUCCGGGUUUAAACUGACUAAGCUGAGCAACCUAUUGUAUUAGGAUUUUCUCAAUUUAUUGUUUGGGCUAUAAACCAAUGUAUUUACCCUUAUGAGCUCAUAUUAGGUAUUCUUGCAGUAUUUUCUGAUUGUAUUUAUUAUGGCUUAUAUUUAAAAAAAAAAAACAAGCAUCUCAGAAUUGUGUAUAUUCCUG